AACGAACGCUGGCGGCAUGCCUAACACAUGCAAGUCGAACGAGACCUUCGGGUCUAGUGGCGCACGGGUGCGUAACGCGUGGGAACCUGCCCUUAGGUUCGGAAUAACUCCCCGAAAGGGGUGCUAAUACCGGAUAAUGUCUUCGGACCAAAGAUUUAUCGCCUUUGGAUGGGCCCGCGUUGGAUUAGCUAGUUGGUAGGGUAAAAGCCUACCAAGGCGACGAUCCAUAGCUGGUCUGAGAGGAGGAUCAGCCACACUGGGACUGAGACACGGCCCAGACUCCUACGGGAGGCAGCAGUGGGGAAUAUUGGACAAUGGGCGAAAGCCUGAUCCAGCAAUGCCGCGUGAGUGAUGAAGGGCUUAGGGUUGUAAAGCUCUUUUACCCGGGAUGAUAAUGACAGUACCGGGAGAAUAAGCUCCGGCUAACUCCGUG
rnacentral:rRNA from 1 species